AUUCCAUGAUGAGGACACUUUCAUAAUAAUCCUUUGUACCUUUCCCAUGCCUCAUACAAUGACUCAUCAUCCAUUUGUUGGAAAGCAGUGAUCUCGUUCCUUAACUU
rnacentral:snoRNA from 1 species